GCCUGGCUGGCUUAGUUGGUAGAGCAUGCGACUCCCAAUCUCAGCGUCGUGAGUUCAAGCCCCACGUUGGGCA